rfam:Gossypium raimondii Chr02_contig_797, whole genome shotgun sequence.
CACGUCAGCGCGCUUUGCUGAUGUGGCAGCAAAUUGCGUCCUAGAGGGCGCGAUUUGUUGCCACGUCAGCAAAGCGCGCAGACGUGG